GACGAACGCUGGCGGCGUGCUUAACACAUGCAAGUCGAACGGAAAGGCCCUGCUUUUGUGGGGUGCUCGAGUGGCGAACGGGUGAGUAACACGUGAGUAACCUGCCCUUGACUUUGGGAUAACUUCAGGAAACUGGGGCUAAUACCGGAUAGGAGCUCCUGCUGCAUGGUGGGGGUUGGAAAGUUUCGGCGGUUGGGGAUGGACUCGCGGGUUAUCAGCUUGUUGGUGGGGUAGUGGCUUACCAAGGCUUUGACGGGUAGCCGGCCUGAGAGGGUGACCGGCCACAUUGGGACUGAGAUACGGCCCAGACUCCUACGGGAGGCAGCAGUGGGAAAUAUUGCACAAUGGGCGGAAGCCUGAUGCAGCAACGCCGCGUGCGGGAUGACGGCCUUCGGGUUGUAAACCGCUUUCGCCUGUGACGAAGCGUGAGUGACGGUAACGGGUAAAGAAGCACCGGCUAACUACGUG
rnacentral:rRNA from 1 species